rnacentral:piRNA from 1 species
UAAGCACAUAGCGGAGUUUAGAA